rnacentral:rRNA from 1 species
GAUGAACGCUGGCGGCGUGCCUAAUACAUGCAAGUCGAGCGAACAGACGAGGAGCUUGCUCCUCUGACGUUAGCGGCGGACGGGUGAGUAACACGUGGAUAACCUACCUAUAAGACUGGGAUAACUUCGGGAAACCGGAGCUAAUACCGGAUAAUAUAUUGAACCGCAUGGUUCAAUAGUGAAAGACGGUUUUGCUGUCACUUAUAGAUGGAUCCGCGCCGCAUUAGCUAGUUGGUAAGGUAACGGCCUACCAAGGCAACGAUGCGUAGCCGACCUGAGAGGGUGAUCGGCCACACUGGAACUGAGACACGGUCCAGACUCCUACGGGAGGCAGCAGUAGGGAAUCUUCCGCAAUGGGCGAAAGCUUGACGGAGCAACGCCGCGUGAGUGAUGAAGAUCUUCGGAUCGUAAAACUCUGUUAUUAGGGAAGAAAAAAUGUGUAAGUAACUAUGCACGUCUUAACGGUACCUAAACAGAAAGCAACGGCUAACUACGUG